AUUGAACGCUGGCGGCAUGCCAAACACAUGCAAGUCGAACGGUAACGCGGGGGCAACCCUGGCGACGAGUGGCGGACGGGUGAGUAAUACGUAGGAAUCUGCCCAUUUGUGGGGGAUAACCCGGCGAAAGCCGGGCUAAUACCGCAUACGCUCUACGGAGGAAAGCAGGGGAUCGUAAGACCUUGCGCUAAUGGAUGAGCCUACGUCGGAUUAGCUAGUUGGUAGGGUAACGGCCUACCAAGGCGACGAUCCGUAGCUGGUCUGAGAGGACGAUCAGCCACACUGGGACUGAGACACGGCCCAGACUCCUACGGGAGGCAGCAGUGGGGAAUAUUGGACAAUGGGGGCAACCCUGAUCCAGCAAUGCCGCGUGUGUGAAGAAGGCCUGCGGGUUGUAAAGCACUUUCAGAGGGGAAGAAAAAUACGGAGCUAACACCUCCGAGCUUGACGUUACCCUUGGAAGAAGCACCGGCUAACUCCGUGCCAGCAGCCGCGGUAAUACGGAAGGUGC
rnacentral:rRNA from 1 species